rnacentral:rRNA from 1 species
AGCGAACGCUGGCGGCAGGCUUAACACAUGCAAGUCGAGCGCCCCGCAAGGGGAGCGGCAGACGGGAUAGUAACACGUGGGAACGUACCCUUCAGUUCGGAACAACCCAGGGAAACUUGGGCUAAUACCGAAUACGUCCGUAAGGAGAAAGAUUUAUCGCUGAAGGAUCGGCCCGCGUCUGAUUAGCUAGUUGGUGAGGUAACGGCUCACCAAGGCGACGAUCAGUAGCUGGUCUGAGAGGAUGAUCAGCAUCACUGGGACUGAGACACGGCCCAGACUCCUACGGGAGGCAGCAGUGGGGAAUAUUGGUCAAUGGGCGCAAGCCUGAUCCAGCCAUGCCGCGUGGAUGAUGAAGGCCUUAGGGUUGUAAAGUCCUUUUAACGGGGAAGAUAAUGACGGUACCCGUAGAAUAAGCCCCGGCUAACUUCGUGCCAGCCGCCGCUGUAACAC